rnacentral:rRNA from 1 species
GGGUUGUGAGGUUAAGCGACUAAGCGUACACGGUGGAUGCCCUGGCAGUCAGAGGCGAUGAAGGACGUGCUAAUCUGCGAAAAGCGUCGGUAAGGUGAUAUGAACCGUUAUAACCGGCGAUGUCCGAAUGGGGAAACCCAGUGUGAUUCGUCACACUAUCGUUAACUGAAUACAUAGGUUAACGAGGCGAACCGGGGGAACUGAAACAUCUAAGUACCCCGAGGAAAAGAAAUCAACCGAGAUUCCCCCAGUAGCGGCGAGCGAACGGGGAGCAGCCCAGAGUCUGAAUCAGCUUGUGUGUUAGUGGAACGGUCUGGAAAGUCCGACGGUACAGGGUGAUAGUCCCGUACACCAAAAUGCACAGGCUGUGAACUCGAAGAGUAGGGCGGGACACGUGGUAUCCUGUCUGAAUAUGGGGGGACCAUCCUCCAAGGCUAAAUACUCCUGACUGACCGAUAGUGAACCAGUACCGUGAGGGAAAGGCGAAAAGAACCCCGGCGAGGGGAGUGAAAAAGAACCUGAAACCGUGUACGUACAAGCAGUGGGAGCACCUUCGGGUGUGACUGCGUACCUUUUGUAUAAUGGGUCAGCGACUUAUAUUCUGUAGCAAGGUUAACCGUAUAGGGGAGCCGCAGGGAAACCGAGUCUUAACUGGGCGUUAAGUUGCAGGGUAUAGACCCGAAACCCGGUGAUCUAGCCAUGGGCAGGUUGAAGGUUGGGUAACACUAACUGGAGGACCGAACCGACUAAUGUUGAAAAAUUAGCGGAUGACUUGUGGCUGGGGGUGAAAGGCCAAUCAAACCGGGAGAUAGCUGGUUCUCCCCGAAAGCUAUUUAGGUAGCGCCUCGUGAACUCAUCUUCGGGGGUAGAGCACUGUUUCGGCUAGGGGGUCAUCCCGACUUACCAACCCGAUGCAAACUACGAAUACCGAAGAAUGUUAUCACGGGAGACACACGGCGGGUGCUAACGUCCGUCGUGAAGAGGGAAACAACCCAGACCGCCAGCUAAGGUCCCAAAGUCAUGGUUAAGUGGGAAACGAUGUGGGAAGGCACAGACAGCCAGGAUGUUGGCUUAGAAGCAGCCAUCAUUUAAAGAAAGCGUAAUAGCUCACUGGUCGAGUCGGCCUGCGCGGAAGAUGUAACGGGGCUAAACCAUGCACCGAAGCUGCGGCAGCGACACUAUGUGUUGUUGGGUAGGGGAGCGUUCUGUAAGCCUGCGAAGGUGACCUGUGAGGGUUGCUGGAGGUAUCAGAAGUGCGAAUGCUGACAUAAGUAACGAUAAAGCGGGUGAAAAGCCCGCUCGCCGGAAGACCAAGGGUUCCUGUCCAACGUUAAUCGGGGCAGGGUGAGUCGACCCCUAAGGCGAGGCCGAAAGGCGUAGUCGAUGGGAAACAGGUUAAUAUUCCUGUACUUGGUGUUACUGCGAAGGGGGGACGGAGAAGGCUAUGUUAGCCGGGCGACGGUUGUCCCGGUUUAAGCAUGUAGGCUGAUUGUCCAGGCAAAUCCGGAUAAUCAAGGCUGAGGUGUGAUGACGAGGCACUACGGUGCUGAAGUAACAAAUGCCCUGCUUCCAGGAAAAGCCUCUAAGCAUCAGGUAACAUUAAAUCGUACCCCAAACCGACACAGGUGGUCAGGUAGAGAAUACCAAGGCGCUUGAGAGAACUCGGGUGAAGGAACUAGGCAAAAUGGUGCCGUAACUUCGGGAGAAGGCACGCUGGUGUGUAGGUGAAGUCCCUGCGGAUGGAGCUGAGACCAGUCGAAGAUACCAGCUGGCUGCAACUGUUUAUUAAAAACACAGCACUGUGCAAACACGAAAGUGGACGUAUACGGUGUGACGCCUGCCCGGUGCCGGAAGGUUAAUUGAUGGGGUUAUCCGUAAGGAGAAGCUCUUGAUCGAAGCCCCGGUAAACGGCGGCCGUAACUAUAACGGUCCUAAGGUAGCGAAAUUCCUUGUCGGGUAAGUUCCGACCUGCACGAAUGGCGUAAUGAUGGCCAGGCUGUCUCCACCCGAGACUCAGUGAAAUUGAACUCGCUGUGAAGAUGCAGUGUACCCGCGGCAAGACGGAAAGACCCCGUGAACCUUUACUAUAGCUUGACACUGAACAUUGAGCCUUGAUGUGUAGGAUAGGUGGGAGGCUUUGAAGCGUGGACGCCAGUCUGCGUGGAGCCAACCUUGAAAUACCACCCUUUAAUGUUUGAUGUUCUAACGUUGGCCCCUUACCGGGGUUGCGGACAGUGUCUGGUGGGUAGUUUGACUGGGGCGGUCUCCUCCCAAAGCGUAACGGAGGAGCACGAAGGUUAGCUAAUCCUGGUCGGACAUCAGGAGGUUAGUGCAAUGGCAUAAGCUAGCUUGACUGCGAGCGUGACGGCGCGAGCAGGUGCGAAAGCAGGUCAUAGUGAUCCGGUGGUUCUGAAUGGAAGGGCCAUCGCUCAACGGAUAAAAGGUACUCCGGGGAUAACAGGCUGAUACCGCCCAAGAGUUCAUAUCGACGGCGGUGUUUGGCACCUCGAUGUCGGCUCAUCACAUCCUGGGGCUGAAGUAGGUCCCAAGGGUAUGGCUGUUCGCCAUUUAAAGUGGUACGCGAGCUGGGUUUAGAACGUCGUGAGACAGUUCGGUCCCUAUCUGCCGUGGGCGCUGGAGAAUUGAGGGGGGCUGCUCCUAGUACGAGAGGACCGGAGUGGACGCAUCACUGGUGUUCGGGUUGUCAUGCCAAUGGCACUGCCCGGUAGCUAAAUGCGGAAGAGAUAAGUGCUGAAAGCAUCUAAGCACGAAACUUGCCCCGAGAUGAGUUCUCCCUGAGACUUUAAGUCUCCUGAAGGAACGUUGAAGACGACGACGUUGAUAGGCCGGGUGUGUAAGCGCAGCGAUGCGUUGAGCUAACCGGUACUAAUGAACCGUGAGGCUUAACCUUACAACGCCGAAG